rnacentral:misc_RNA from 1 species
CGUCCGCCGGGAUUGCCCCGAAACAGCCCAAUACGAAAGCCACCGCCGCCAAAAUGAGCGCUCGGCUCAACAUCCAAGGUCUCCAGAUCAAUAGCCAGUCAAAGGACGGAUGGCGGUUCACCCCUGCNNNNNNNNNGCCUCGGGUCACCUUUAGCGGAUUAUAACGCGAAUGGAAGCACCGAGAUUUCGCAUCAGGGUAACGUUGUUGAUAUUGCUGGGAGCUUCGUUCUAGCCCCCUAAUGUCCGAAUUAAAUUCCGGUGCCGGGGGUGAAGCAGAAGACGUCCGCGCUGUACGCACGCU